rfam:Myotis lucifugus cont2.6301, whole genome shotgun sequence.
GAGACACCCUUAUGUGGCAAGACUUGCUUCAGUGGGGCUUUGGUGCUCACUGAGUCUGCCCCCUGAGUGUGUCCCU